rnacentral:rRNA from 1 species
AUUGAACGCUGGCGGCAGGCUUAACACAUGCAAGUCGAACGAGUGGCGGACGGGUGAGUAAUGCUUGGGAAUCUAGCUGAUGGAGGGGGAUAACUACGGGAAACUGUAGCUAAUACCGCGUACCAUAGGAUGAGCCCAAGUGGGAUUAGGUAGUUGGUGAGGUAAAGGCUCACCAAGCCGAGGAUCGCUAGCUGGUCUGAGAGGAUGACACGCCACACUGGGACUGAGACACGGCCCAGACUCCUACGGGAGGCAGCAGUGGGGAAUAUUGGGCAAUGGGCGAAAGCUGACGCAGCAAUGCCGCGUGAGUGAAGAAGGCCUUCGGGUUGUAAAGUUCUUUCGGUAGCGAGGCGGUAUCCACAGAAAAAGCACCGGCUAACUCCGUGCCAGCCGCCGCGGUAAUAC